CGCCGCGUGAGUGAGAGGUUUUCGGAUCGUAAAGCUCUGUUGUUAGGGAAGAACUCCUGCCGUUCAAUUCCGGCGGCACCUUGCCGGUCCCUAACCAUAAAGCCACGGCUAAUUACGUGCCGCCACCCGCGGUAAUCCGUAGGUGGCAACCUUUGUCCGGAAUUAUGGGGCGUAAAGGGCUCGCAGGGGGUUUCUUAAUUCUGAUGUGAAACCCCCCGGCUCACCCGGGGACGGUCAUUGGAAACGGGGGAACUUGAUUGCGUAAAAGGAAAGUGAAAUUCCACGUGUACCGUUGAAAUGCGUAAGGAUGUGGAGGAACACCAUGGGCAAAGGGCGACUCUCUGGUCUGUAUCUGACCCUGAGGACCGAAAGCUUGGGGAGCAAACAGGAUAAAAAACCCUGGUAGUCCACCCCUUAAACGAUGAAUGCUAAUUGUUGGGGGGUUUCCGCCCCUUAGUGCUGCACCUAACGCAUUAACCACUCCGCCCGGGGA
rnacentral:rRNA from 1 species